ensembl:lncRNA
UGUGCCCCAAGCCCACCCAGAGCCCUGUAUGGGGCGGGGACACCCACAGGUGGCUGAUAAGGGAGCAGGGAGUGAUAUGGCCCCAGGGUGAGGAGCAGUGCUGGGGUGACUCUACAGAGCCUGUAAAACCUCAUCUGCAGGGAGAAAAGGAGCUGCUGGGUCCCUUCCUCACCUCAGCCAGCAGAUCUUCCCUGCGCUCUUUGCUUUUUUUUUAUAUACAGAAAACCAAAGACACCAUAAACAGCUAAAAAAGAGCAGUUUGGGCUGUGGCUCUGGCCUGGAGUUACCUGCCUGAGCGCUGGGUUGCAUAGGGAGGGGAUGCUUAAUUGCAACACGUCGCUGGAAGGGAAACGCACGCCUUCCGUGCGUGCUUGUCUUGUCUGCACGGAGGGGAAGCUGCAGCCUCAGACCCCAGGAGCAGCGGGGGAGCUGGGGAGCCUGGGUCCUGCAGUGUGCUGAGCACAGAGCCAUUUAAUUGCCUUCUGCGGCGGCGAAGAUGUGAAAUUAGUCUCCCUUCUGAUCUUGAGCUAAGUUGGUCCAAAGCACCGUCUUAUAAUUUGCUCAGAUCAUCUCGCCGUCGGGUGGUGGAAGACACGGGGCCGGGGCUGCAGGGAGCACUGGAGUUCACACGGGACAGGAGUUCCACCUCGCUGUCCUGGAGUCACGCUGCUGGGUUCGCUUGCGUAGGAAUGGCAAUAUUUAGACUCGGUGCCACUUGCAGGAAGCUUUCAAUCAAGUGCUCUUCUCCAUCUCCCCUAGCAACAGCCGAGAAACGGAGCCGGUCUGGGGGACGGGGGAGAAGCUGAGGCAGGGGCAGCAGCAGGAAGAUGCCUGUCCCCAUCCAUCCUCUGCUGUCCCCGUGCUGGGGACAGCCUCCCUGACCUCCCGUCCAGGCUGGGCGCCUGCAGACGGACCUUUGGAGGCAUCAAAGGAGGUGGAGAUUCCAGCCCCUAUUGAAUUUCUAGUCCCCAACGACCUGAGGGGCAGGGGAAAGAAGGGAACUGGUUUUUGUCUGCUCGGUAUCUCAGACAAUCAAUGAAUUAAAGGGAAAUAAACUGCUGAUGAGGAGCGAACGUGGAGCUCGACGUGCUGCAAAACGUGAGGAGCAGAGAAGCGGCCGUGGCCAUUCCACAGUGCGGGGCAGGAAAGGGACGAUGGUGUGGGCACAGAGAAGGCCUUUCUUUCAUUUGUUCCUGGCCAAGAGCACACGCAGAUCGCCCUGGGGACAGCGGCACUUUCCUCCUCCGCGCAGAAUGUGCUGAAUGCGAGGGUAUUAUUUUUAACAGGGAUAUUUAGCUCCUCUUUACCCUCGUGUAGGUGGUUUACCCUCCACGGCCUCAAUCCCAGGGGAGGCUCCCGGUCAUCGCCCGGCCCCUAAGAACAGCGGAGGAGCAGCAGAGGCUCACAGACACGAG